rnacentral:rRNA from 1 species
UACGAAGGGGGCUAGCGUUGUUCGGAAUUACUGGGCGUAAAGCGUGCGCAGGCGGCUUCUCAAGUCAGGGGUGAAAGCCCAGAGCUUAACUCUGGAAUUGCCUUUGAGACUGAGAGGCUUGAGUACGGGAGAGGUGAGUGGAAUUCCCAGUGUAGAGGUGAAAUUCGUAGAUAUCGGGAGGAACACCAGUGGCGAAGGCGGCUGCCUGGGGCUUUGCUGACGCUGAUGCGCGAAAGCGUGGGGAGCGAUCCGG